rnacentral:tRNA from 1 species
GCUCCCUUCGUCUAGCGGUUAGGACGUCGCCCUCUCACGGCGAAAACAGCGGUUCGAUUCCGCUAGGGAGCACCA